AAAGCAAAUGACAAGGACACUGUAACAG
rnacentral:piRNA from 1 species